rnacentral:tRNA from 1 species
GAGGGAAUAGCUCAGAGGUAGAGUUCAUGCUUAGCAUGCAUGAGGUCCUGGGUUCAAUCCCCAGUACUUCCC